rnacentral:rRNA from 1 species
CGCCUUUGGAAAAGAUCGAAGGUUCUGCCUGCCCGGUGAUUAUAUAUAAUUAAACGGCUGCGGUACUCUGACCGUGCAAAGGUAGCAUAAUCAUUUGCCUGUUAAUUUCAGGCUGGAAUCAAUGGCAAGACGAAGAAGAAGCUGUCUCUUUAUAUUUAAGUUGAAAUUUUCGUCUUGGUUAAGAGCCCAAGAUAAGUGAGUGGGACGAGAAGACCCUAUUGAGCUUUAAUUUGUAUUAUUAUAGUAAAAGGGGCUAUUAACAAAUUUUGGUUGGGGCAACGGUUUUUUUUAUUAAACAAAGAGGUAACGGAUGAGUUGAUUCUUUUUUGACCCAGAAGUUGGUUUUGGAAAGUAGAAAAAGUUACCAUAGGGAUAACAGCGUAAUUCUCCUUGAGAGUACUUAUUGACAGGGGAGUUUGCGACCUCGAUGUUGGAUCAGGUUAACCUAGGGAUGCAGCAGUUUCUAAGGGUUGGUUUGUUCAACCAUAAAAAACCU